GGUAGUUGGCUCAGUGGUAGAGUGCUUGCCUUGCAUGCAUGAGGCCCUGGGUUCAAUUCCUCAGCACCA
rnacentral:tRNA from 1 species